rnacentral:misc_RNA from 1 species
AAAAAAAAAAAAAAGAUAAAGAAUUUUGAUAGGCAGUGAAGGCUAAUCAAAGGCCAGUAGAGAUAACAGUGAUGAAGACUGAAAUUUGAAAAUAAAGGCCAACAAUAAAGUCAGCAAUAAAUGCUGAACAGAAUACUGCCUAGGCUAACUGGGCUCUAAUACCAUGCGAAAGUGAAAUCUUUCAUAUAUUUUCAACAUAGGUAAUUGGUACAUUUAUAGUUACAAAGAAGUCAACUAAAUCCCUAUGAAUUAGGAAAAAGAAUAGAAAGAAAUAAAACUAGAAAGAGAGAAAUUAUAGGAGAGAAAUUACAGCAGAAUAGAGAAAAUAUAGGAGAAUAAUUACAGAGGAAAAAUUAGGGAUAUACAUGCGUUUGAAAUAAUCUAGCUAUAGAAAGAUAUUUUAGAGAUAUAUUAGGGAUUCUCAACAUGUACUCAACUAAACCUAGUACCAUGCAAUGGUCAUUUCACCCAAUGACGGAGCCAGGAAUUUAGCUUAGGGGGUCCAAUUAAAAUAUAAAAUUUGUUUAUUAAUCACUUGUUUAAGUGUUGAUUGAAGAGAUUGAUUAACUAAUGAUGAUAAUUCUGUAUAGUUAACCAAUAGAAUCAUUUCAUAACUAUAAAACAAAAACAUUUAAUAAAUAUAAUAAUAAA